rnacentral:rRNA from 1 species
CAUGCAAGUCGAGCGGAAGGCCCCUUCGGGGGUACUCGAGCGGCGAACGGGUGAGUAACACGUGAGCAACCUGCCCCUGACUUCGGGAUAAGCCUGGGAAACUGGGUCUAAUACCGGAUACGACCACCUCGCGCAUGUGGGGUGGUGGAAAGUUUUUCGGUUGGGGAUGGGCUCGCGGCCUAUCAGCUUGUUGGUGGGGUGAUGGCCUACCAAGGCUUCGACGGGUAACCGGCCUGAGAGGGCGACCGGUCACACUGGGACUGAGACACGGCCCAGACUCCUACGGGAGGCAGCAGUGGGGAAUAUUGCGCAAUGGGCGGAAGCCUGACGCAGCGACGCCGCGUGGGGGAUGACGGCCUUCGGGUUGUAAACCUCUUUCAGCAGGGACGAAGCGUAAGUGACGGUACCUGUAGAAGAAGCGCCGGCUAACUACGUGCCAGCAGCG